GUAGGGAAUAUUGCGCAAUGGACGAAAGUCUGAUCCAGCGACGCCGCGUGAGUGAUGAAGGCCUUCGGGUCGUAAAGCUCUGUUGCAGGGGAAGAACACAAUGACGGUACCCUGCUAGAAAGGAUCGGCUAACUUCGUGCCAGCAGCCGCGGUAAGACGAGGGAUCCUAGCGUUGUUCGGAAUUAUUGGGCGUAAAGCGGGUGCAGGUGGCUUGGUAAGUCAGAUGUGAAAGCCUGGGGCUUAACCCCAGAAGUGCAUUUGAUACUGCUGAGCUUGAGUGCUGGAGAGGCUAUUAGAAUUCCUGGUGUAGUGGUGAAAUACGUAGAUAUCAGGAGGAAUACCGGAGGCGAAGGCGGAUAGCUGGCCAGACACUGACACUCAGACCCGAAAGCGUGGGGAUCAAACAGGAUUAGAAACCCUUGUAGUCC
rnacentral:rRNA from 1 species